rnacentral:rRNA from 1 species
CCUACGGGUGGCAGCAGUGGGGAAGGUUGGACAAUGGGCGCAAGCCUGAUCCAGCUAUUCCGCGUGUGGGAUGACGGCCCUCGGGUUGUAAACCACUUUAGUAGAGAACGAAAAGGAGCUAUCGAAUAAAUAGCUCUGCUGACGGUACGCUAAGAAGAAGCACCGGCUAACUACGUGCCAGCAGCCGCGGUAAUACGUAGGGUGCGAGCGUUAAUCGGAAUUACUGGGCGUAAAGGGUGUGACGGCGGCUGCGUAAGACAGAUGUGAAAUCCCCGGGCUUAACCUGGGAACCGCAUAUGUGACUGCUUGGCUAGAGUGCGUCAGCGGUAGGUGGAAUUCCACGUGUAGCCGUGAAAUGCGUAGAUAUCUGGCAGAACACCGAUGGCGAAGGCAGCCUCCUGGGACGCAACUGACGCUCAUCCACGAACGCGUGGGGAGCAAACAGGAUUAGAUACCCUGGUAGUC